rnacentral:rRNA from 2 species
GGGUGCUAUACAUGCAGUCGAACGAGUUCUCGUUGAUGAUCGGUGCUUGCACCGAGAUUCAACAUGGAACGAGUGGCGGACGGGUGAGUAACACGUGGGUAACCUGCCCUUAAGUGGGGGAUAACAUUUGGAAACAGAUGCUAAUACCGCAUAGAUCCAAGAACCGCAUGGUUCUUGGCUGAAAGAUGGCGUAAGCUAUCGCUUUUGGAUGGACCCGCGGCGUAUUAGCUAGUUGGUGAGGUAAUGGCUCACCAAGGCGAUGAUACGUAGCCGAACUGAGAGGUUGAUCGGCCACAUUGGGACUGAGACACGGCCCAAACUCCUACGGGAGGCAGCAGUAGGGAAUCUUCCACAAUGGACGCAAGUCUGAUGGAGCAACGCCGCGUGAGUGAAGAAGGCUUUCGGGUCGUAAAACUCUGUUGUUGGAGAAGAAUGGUCGGCAGAGUAACUGUUGUCGGCGUGACGGUAUCCAACCAGAAAGCCACGGCUAACUACGUGCCAGCAGCCGCGGUAAUACGUAGGUGGCAAGCGUUAUCCGGAUUUAUUGGGCGUAAAGCGAGCGCAGGCGGUUUUUUAAGUCUGAUGUGAAAGCCCUCGGCUUAACCGAGGAAGCGCAUCGGAAACUGGGAAACUUGAGUGCAGAAGAGGACAGUGGAACUCCAUGUGUAGCGGUGAAAUGCGUAGAUAUAUGGAAGAACACCAGUGGCGAAGGCGGCUGUCUGGUCUGUAACUGACGCUGAGGCUCGAAAGCAUGGGUAGCGAACAGGAUUAGAUACCCUGGUAGUCCAUGCCGUAAACGAUGAAUGCUAGGUGUUGGAGGGUUUCCGCCCUUCAGUGCCGCAGCUAACGCAUUAAGCAUUCCGCCUGGGGAGUACGACCGCAAGGUUGAAACUCAAAGGAAUUGACGGGGGCCCGCACAAGCGGUGGAGCAUGUGGUUUAAUUCGAAGCAACGCGAAGAACCUUACCAGGUCUUGACAUCUUUUGAUCACCUGAGAGAUCAGGUUUCCCCUUCGGGGGCAAAAUGACAGGUGGUGCAUGGUUGUCGUCAGCUCGUGUCGUGAGAUGUUGGGUUAAGUCCCGCAACGAGCGCAACCCUUAUGACUAGUUGCCAGCAUUUAGUUGGGCACUCUAGUAAGACUGCCGGUGACAAACCGGAGGAAGGUGGGGAUGACGUCAAAUCAUCAUGCCCCUUAUGACCUGGGCUACACACGUGCUACAAUGGAUGGUACAACGAGUUGCGAGACCGCGAGGUCAAGCUAAUCUCUUAAAGCCAUUCUCAGUUCGGACUGUAGGCUGCAACUCGCCUACACGAAGUCGGAAUCGCUAGUAAUCGCGGAUCAGCACGCCGCGGUGAAUACGUUCCCGGGCCUUGUACACACCGCCCGUCACACCAUGAGAGUUUGUAACACCCGAAGCCGGUGGCGUAACCCUUUUAGGGAGCGAGCCGUCUAAGGUGGGACAAAUGAUUAGGGUGAAGUCGUAACAAGGUUAACCGUAA